AGUGAACGCUGGCGGUAGGCCUAACACAUGCAAGUCGAACGGCAGCACAGUAAGAGCUUGCUCUUACGGGUGGCGAGUGGCGGACGGGUGAGGAAUACAUCGGAAUCUACUUUUUCGUGGGGGAUAACGUAGGGAAACUUACGCUAAUACCGCAUACGACCUACGGUUGAAAGCAGGGGAUCUUCGGACCUUGCGCGAUUGAAUGAGCCGAUGUCGGAUUAGCUAGUUGGCGGGGUAAAGGCCCACCAAGGCGACGAUCCGUAGCUGGUCUGAGAGGAUGAUCAGCCACACUGGAACUGAGACACGGUACAGACGACUACGGGAGGCAGCAGUGGGGAAUAUUGGACAAAGGGCGCAAGCCUGAUCAAGCCAUACCGCGUGGGUGAAGAAGGCAUUCGGGUUGUAAAGACCUUUUGUUGGGAAAGAAAAGCAGCAGGUUAAUAACCCGCUGUUCUGACGGUACCAAAAGAAUAAGCACCGGCUAACUUCGUG
rnacentral:rRNA from 1 species